rnacentral:lncRNA from 1 species
AUUUGUGUGUGUGUGUGUGUGUGUGUGUGUGUUUACAUAGGUGGAAAGCCUGCUUCCACUCUCUCAGCUUACUUGAUACUUCUUUGCUGAGAGGUCACAGAUCUUCUCAUGGGACUCCUCACAGUCUCCUCACCUCCUCAUAGGACUCUUGCAGCAUAUCUGCUCCUCUUGUAGGUUUCUGUUCUCUCAUCUCAAUGCAUUCACAUUGCCUUCUGCUUUCUUUCCAUAGAUGGCUGUGGAGGGUGCUGAAUCACCAACAAAGAAUUGUGAGCCUCAGCCAGCUUCCAUCUGCCACCUGUACUUCCAUGUACUACUGCCAACCUUGAAAAGUUCAUGGUUCCCAGACAGCAUCAGACUAGAGCCAACAGUAGCCAUGCGCCAGCAUCUCCAAGAAGCAGGCCAAGUCCAGAGAAAAGCCAACUUCUAAAAGAUUCAUCCUACUACUGAAAAUUCUGAUACCAAAAGGACAAUAGCAAAAGGAUUUCUGGACCUCCAAGUACUAGACGUGGCUCCCACCUUGGCUUAACUGUCCAUGGCAGUGCCAUAACAUCAGCAGGCAGAGUGCAAACAUCACCUGAAGGAGGAAAGAUUGCCCACAUUCAGAAUCACAUUCCUUCCAUGGGUCCCAUAGCAACCAGUUCUGUAAAGUCCCUGCCAGAGCCCCAGAGUCCCUGGGAUGCCUAACAUCCCCUCAGCGUAUAAAACGUUUUUCCAUUUAAAGGCUCCUGAGACUGCAGGACAAUCCUAGAAGGGGCUCACAGUUUUUCACACUUAGAAAAAUUAAGUCUAAGAGGCAGAACUCCCAAGUCCACAAGGCAUGCUGCUUGCUAAGAGGCAUACAGACUAGAACCUCACUAUGGUCCAAAGACAAAGAAGACAGAAUUGGUACCUCCCAUGUGCCUGAGUCCUGGAUGAGUCAGGUGAUCACCCAACAGGAGUUGGUCUACUAAAUCAGUCUUAUCUUUAAGUACAAUAUGCACUAAGAGAAUAUGAUAAGGAAAGGCAAGGGUUUUUUUGCAGCACAUAGCUUUAUUAAGGACCUACAUUAGCUUUCUGCUAUUCCUUACAAUGACUUUAAUAAGAAGCUAUCCCAUGGUCAGCCUAGGACAAAUGUUCUCCAGAUCUCUGGACUUUUUCCUUCCAAGGCCUGUCCUUUGGACCUGAGGCCUGAUAGUAGGGGUAGUGGGUAAUGCCAGGUGUUAUAUGUAUUUCUAAAAGAGGAUGAUAGUUGCCUUUGCAAUACACAAAAUACAUAGAAAGUACGCCAAAACUUCAGAAGUGGGUGACAGAUUCCCAUGCAGUGACUUAUCCAUCCAAAUGAGGUCUAUAGCUUCCCAGGCAGUACUGGCAGUGGGCAAAAGAGGGACAUUGAUCUCUUGCUAUACAGAAAGCAUGUAGAAGAGGUCUAUAUAGUCACAUGUCUCACCCAAGGACUCCAGAAAAUGCCAAUAUAUGCCAAUAUAGUCUCCAAGACAUCUAAAAGAGGUGAUAGAUCUCAAACCACACAGAAGACAUGGAUACAUCCCCAUGCAGUAUCCAAAGCACCCAGAAGAGGGAGAAAAAGCCACAUGCAGUGUGUAAAGCAUCAAAGAAAAAGAGAGUCUAUUGCAUUACCAAGAGAAACUAGAAGAGGGCGACAGAGCAUAAUGCUGUACUCAAAUCAUCCAGAACAGGACAAUACCUUACCACGUAGUACAUUCCAGUAGUAUCUUUAGGUACAUAAUCACAAGUGACCUUGUAUGGUUGAGUGGUAUAGGGACAGGAGAGACCAUGCUGAGUUCCAAAUAGUGAUCUACUGGUGCCCCUAAAAGCAGGACAGCUCUCCUCAAGCUGGGAUCCCAUUCCCAACCACUGUGGCUAGACACAUGUUUCAGGCCAUACUGCAUUCCUACUGGAUCUGGAAUUGCUUAACUUAGCCCAGCCAUGCUGUGCUUGGAGUACAAUUUCAGCUAAUAGCUGAUGUGAUGCAAGUAGGUCCUAGAGUCCCUAGGGCUUAGCAUCACCAGGCUGUGAUUUCCUGUGUCCAAGACACAGGAUGUACCUGAAUGUCUGAGACCUUGGUGUAUGUUCAUGGGGAGUUUCUUCCCCUGGUUUUUGCAAUCAGACAUCCAAGGAAUUUAAUGGAAUCUGCUAAGGAUGCAGUUCAGCAAAAACAUACAAACAAGGACUGUUCACAGAGGACCAAUUGUAUGUGUGCAUGUGCAUGUGUGUGGGUACUGAAGUCUAUAGUGGGGCCUGUUUUGAGGUGAUGCCCGCGCCAUGAGCAGGGAGCCCCACUUUAAGCAGCAGUGCUUUUAUUCCAUGUUGCACAUUGAAAUUCCAUGCCAGUUUAUAUUGCCAUCCUGAAAUUGAGUCUCCUUCCUUGAAGUAUUUACUCUGAGCAUAUGCAUGGCAAUAAGAACCCAUGACUGCGAAUCUGUGUUCUGAAGAUAUAAAUAAGGUGGUAACAGGUUUCAGGUGGGCCAGGACCUGUGGCACAGACUUCCUGGGAACUUUUUAGAGGGGUAGUCUUUCCUUUCAGGCCCAUGAGGGAGUUCUUGAAGCCCUGGAUCCCUUACCAGGGAAAUCUUCUGUGCUGUGCUGGGGUCAGAAUACUAAGUUUAAUAAGCACCAGAAGGUCCGAGUAUAUAGGAGGCAGAAUGUGGCAGCCACUGCAUGGGGGUAGUCCAGGAUAUAGCCUGAAUCCACUUGAUCCUUGAGGCCUGUUUCAUGGAGUAACUUCAGUGACUAGAAGAAUGGGUUAGAUUUAUUUCCUGUACUCAAAGCAGGAAGAAAACGAUGAAAGUCCUCCCAUGCAAUAUGAAAAGCAUCCAGAAGAGGGUGCUAGAUCCUCAGUACCCAAAGUAUCCACAAGAUGGAAUAAGGCAGAUUCCCAUGCAGUAUCAAAAGCAUCCAGAGAGCAUCUUAAGCUCAAUGUUCAGCGUGUGAUGUAGCCCUAGGAACAAAGAGGAGGAGUCUGCCUCUUGAAACCCUCUUCUGAGAGUCAGAGUGAAAUUAAGGAGCUCCUAGCACAGCAGCUGUAGCCUUGACAAUUCCUGCCACUCUGCCAAACAACCUGCUUCCCAGAAGUUCCAAGCGCCUGAAUCCCGUUGCUGGAAGAUGCAGCUCAAGCUCCCUAUUUCAUUUCCUGGACUCACUGUGAAUUCCCCAGGACCAUUAAUUUUAGAGUUCUUUUAAACUAAGACCAAAGGCCAUCUUGUUUCUACCCCUUACUGGUCUCUGUAUGUUCACUGUCCUCUCUUCCAAGAAGCCUGCUCAGUUUUGCAAACAUGUCUAUAGGUGAACCGUAAAGGUACUGAAUGAAUGCUCCAAGAGCAGUUGGAGUCAACUCAACAUUAAUAACAUCACAGACAAUGCCAGGGAACUCCAGGUUAUAAUACAACAUGUUAGGAAGGGACUGUUGAUGUCACACAGGAUAGCUCUUUGCCUUCUUGCUAAGUACCUCACCCAAGUUUACCUGAAGUCAAGGUGCCUUUUCCAGAGAGUGGGAUAGAAUACCUUUUGGUACUCAAAAUACUUAGAAGGUGGCUAUUGAUCCCCUUCCAAUGCCAAACAUCUCCAAAGAGAUCCUUUGGAUCCCCAUGUAAAUCCACAUGUAAUACGCAGACUCCAGAAUAAGAUUAUAGAUGCUAUGCAAUACACAAAGCAUCCAGAAGUGCGUGAAAGAUCCCCUUGCAGUACCAAAAUCAUCCAGAAGAGGUUAAUACAUCUCAAGCCAAUUUCUCUGCUGUGAGGACUGACCUGGACAGAAAGUAAGGUGUCUCCACCAAAGACCAAAGUAUGGUGAAGAUGACCAGGUGUUCUCAUAGAUUUCAUGUCAGAAUUUCAACAUUGCCAGUUGAUGCAGGAGAAAAACUGGGACAUGGAUUUGGUACAUGACCUGAACCUUAUUCUACAGAAAAAAUUUAGCAACACGUGUCAAAAAAUGACUAAUAGCUGUAGGAGAAUAGUGUUACACUCUAAGCAUAACAUCAGUGGACUAUAUUCAAAUUUGGAAAAGGAAAAGGCAAUGAAGAGGGGAUUAUAUAGGAUUGUAGAGAUGGAAAUUUGACAUCUAUUAUGAGACAUUUUCCAGAGAUGCCUCAUGUAGCUGAGAUCUGGGAGUGUACACUAGACUGAGCAGUGUAUCAUAUCUAGGUUUGUCAGAGAUUGGAGAGGUAUUUUACAUAAAUAUUUUAACAUAUCUAUGUCCAGGCCCUACUGGAUGACAUAUACAUUGUAAUCCUUUGUGUCUGGCUUCUUUUAUUUAGCAUUGUUUUUAACAAAGAGUCAUGUGAAUGACAUAUCAAUACCCUG